rnacentral:rRNA from 1 species
UACAGAGGUCUCAAGCGUUGUUCGGAAUUACUGGGCGUAAAGGGUGCGCAGGCUGCGCGGGCAGUCAAAUGUGUAAUCCAGGGGCUCAACCCCUGAACUGCGCUUGAUACUUCCGCGCUCGAGCUUUGGAGAGGAGUCUGGAAUUCUCGGUGUAGCAGUGAAAUGCGUGGAUAUCGAGAAGAACACUUAGGGCGUAGGCAAGACUCUGGACAAAUGCUGACGCUCAUGCACGAAGGCUAGGGUAGCGAACGGG